UACGAAGGGGGCUAGCGUUGCUCGGAAUCACUGGGCGUAAAGCGCACGUAGGCGGCUUACUAAGUCAGGGGUGAAAUCCUGGAGCUCAACUCCAGAACUGCCUUUGAUACUGGUGAGCUUGAGUCCGGAAGAGGUGAGUGGAACUGCGAGUGUAGAGGUGAAAUUCGUAGAUAUUCGCAAAGAACACCAGUGGCGAAGGCGGCUUACUGGUCCGGUUCUGACGCUGAGGCGCGAAAGCGUGGGGAGCAAACAGG
rnacentral:rRNA from 1 species